GACGAACGCUGGCGGCGUGCCUAAUACAUGCAAGUCGAACGGUUUAGUUCCAAGAGGCUUGCCUUUUGGAACUAGACAGUGGCGGACGGGUGAGUAACACGUAGGCAACCUACCUGUCAAACCGGGAUAACCUCGGGAAACCUACGCUAAACCCGCAUCAGCUCCUUUUUCGCAUGUAGGGGGAGUGAAAAGGUGCGACCUGAUGACAGAUUGGCCUGCUGCGCAUUAGCUAGUUGGUAGGCUAACGGCCUGACUGGGCGAUGAUGCGUAGGCGACUUGAGAGGGCCGACGGCCACACUGGGACUGAGAUACGGCCCAGACGACUACGGGAGGCAGCAGUAGGGAAGCGUCGGCAAUGGGCGAAAGCCUGACCGAGCAAAGCCGCGUGAGUGAGGAAGGCCUGCGGGUUGUAAAACUCUGGUGUUUGGGAAGGAGGGAAAGGGGAGGAACCUUAGGUGACGGUAACAAACGAGAAAGCCCCGGCUAACUACGUG
rnacentral:rRNA from 1 species